rfam:Camelus ferus unplaced genomic scaffold scaffold591, whole genome shotgun sequence.
AGGGUAGUAGCUCAGUGGUAGAAUGUGUGCCUAGCAUGCACAGGGUCCUGGGUUCAAUCCCCAGUGCCUCCA